GACCAGAUAAAGAGGUGUUUUGAGUAGGUCUCCAAACAUGAGAGUGGAUAGUCAUAAAAGGGGGUAAGAUUUUUAUGAUUAUUCACAUGAUAGGAACUCUUAUGUUUAAUUUACUUACAUACAUCACAAAAUAAAGAAUCCGUGUUUUGACUUCUAUUCAAAACAUAUAAGCCGUCCUGCAGUCUAUCAGUGUCAAUUGUCUUCCCUAUUUG
rnacentral:lncRNA from 1 species